UUCUCCACAUUGUAACUGAUGAAACUAAAAUUUGAACUCAGAUCUGCCUCACUCCAUAGCCUGUGCCCUUUUCUUUCCACUCACCUUUUUCUCUUUCUAUUUAAAAAUUCCUAACACUUUUGAGAUUCUGAGUCAAUUCAUACCAAUAAAAUCAUGUGUCAGGUUUCAUGAUUAUAUAAAGGCCAGACUUAGAUCUGGCCACACAUAUUAUACCUGAACAUUUCUUCUUAUUUCUACUUAAUGUCUUUUAUUUAUAAAAUAAAAGUCUUAUUGUAGUAUUAUCUGUAAGCUAACAUAUGCCUAUAAGACAUGUAGCUUAAAUUUUAAAAACAGGACAGAAUAAUCCCUUUGUGAUUUGAAAAGCUUUCAGUGAAUGCUAAUGCAGUGUAUUAAAAUCUCUUUGUCUGUAGGUAAAUUUUCUUCCCUCUUAAAAGCCUAAGUCAUCUCUGACUUUGUUUGCUAAAAUAAUCCAAUUUUUUUCUUGUUUUCUCUAGUCAUUCCAAGCUAAAUCCCAGAAAAGACUAAAGAAACACAGACACAGUAUCAUACAAUUUGAGACACAGUAUACAACUGACGUGAACCUUCUAGAAACAGUGCUCUCACAAUCUGCCCAGAAAUAACUUUGUAGCAAGCACAGCUCCAGUCUAGCUGCCUGGUCUCCUGGCAGGAUAUUAUUAUUGCUGAUACUGAUUUACUCCUUAAUGUAACUCUAUCCAGAAUACAAUAUCAAAGAAAUUUCAAGAAAUCAGGAUCAUGGAUUGUAACCUGACAUACUGCUAAGGAACUACCAGUUCCAUGUUAGCAUGUGGUUUGCAAGUAUUUUCCAAAGGCCAUGCUUGAGAAACAUUUUUGCUCUUCCAAUGUGUUGUGGGUUUUUUUUUUUUAGCAUACUAUUGUGCAGAUAAAUAAAUGAGAUGUUAAUGCCACUGAAAGCUCUGGCUUUGCGUUUGGCUUUUCUAGUGAAACCUGUUUAGGAUUCUGGAUUUCUUCCAGCUUGAAUUUAUCACCUCAUCAUUUUUAACAUCAGUGAUCUACACAGUCUCUCAUCUAUUACGUAUAUUAAAUUCUGGUAUUUUCAACUACUCUUCAUUAAAACUUAGAAAAAAAUUUAUAAUCAUUUCCUAAAGUCAAAAGAAGAUUUGAAAUGCUACUGAAAAAAAAAAAAAGAAGGCUGAAAACUGGUUUGCAAGAUUCUCUGGGGCAUCAAAGGCAUCUUAAGAACCACGCUUGCACGUUCAUUAGACAGCCCUCUAAUCAAUGUAUCUUUAACAGACGGCUGGAAAUACUCAAAG
rnacentral:lncRNA from 1 species